rnacentral:rRNA from 1 species
UACGUAGGCAGCGAGCGUUGUUCGGAAUUAUUGGGCGUAAAGAGCGUGUAGGCGGUCCGGUAAGUCAGCUGUGAAAGUCAAGGGCUCAACCCUUGAAAGCCAGUUGAUACUGUCGGGCUAGAGUCCGGAAGAGGCGAGUGGAAUUCCCGGUGUAGCGGUGAAAUGCGCAGAUAUCGGGAGGAACACCAAUGGCGAAGGCAGCUCGCUGGGACGGUACUGACGCUGAGACGCGAAAGCGUGGGGAGCAAACAGG